UGGGGAAUUUUGGACAAUGGGGGAAACCCUGAUCCAGCCAUCCCGCGUGUGCGAUGAAGGCCUUCGGGUUGUAAAGCACUUUUGGCAGGAAAGAAACGUCGCGGGUUAAUACCCCGCGAAACUGACGGUACCUGCAGAAUAAGCACCGGCUAGCUACGUGCCAGCAGCCGCGGUAAUACGUAGGGUGCAAGCGUUAAUCGGAAUUACUGGGCGUAAAGCGUGCGCAGGCGGUUCGGAAAGAAAGAUGUGAAAUCCCCAGAGCUUAACUUUGGAACUGCAUUUUUAACUAACCGGGCUAGAGUGUGUCAGAGGGAGGUGGAAUUCCGCGUGUAGCAGUGAAAUGCGUAGAUAUGCGGAGGAACACCGAUGGCGAAGGCAGCCUCCUGGGAUAACACUGACGCUCAUGCACGAAAGCGUGGGGAGCAAACAGGAUU
rnacentral:rRNA from 1 species